GUAGCUUGCUACCUGCCGGCGAGUGGCGAACGGGUGAGUAAUACAUCGGAACGUGCCCUGUAGUGGGGGAUAACUAGUCGAAAGACUAGCUAAUACCGCAUACGACCUGAGGGUGAAAGUGGGGGACCGCAAGGCCUCAUGCUAUAGGAGCGGCCGAUGUCUGAUUAGCUAGUUGGUGGGGUAAAGGCCCACCAAGGCGACGAUCAGUAGCUGGUCUGAGAGGACGAUCAGCCACACUGGGACUGAGACACGGCCCAGACUCCUACGGGAGGCAGCAGUGGGCCCACA
rnacentral:rRNA from 1 species